AGGCACAUUACAAAUUACAAUAUGGCUGGCGUAGUUGUAUAUAUAUGGUAUAUAUGAUUAUAAUAAUGAUGAUGGAUGGUCAUGAUGAUGAUGGAUUGGUGUUUCAUACAGAGCUAGUUUCGGAGAGGCCAAAUUCAAGUCCCCAAAGCUCGAAAGCACCCUUAACGAAGUCAUAGUAGCCUCCCUUCAAAGCAAGUGUUCCCUUCACAAGUCCUUCCCUCACAAACGGAUAUGUCAACAGGUUUGCUAGUGAAACAUUCACUGCCUCCUGCAUUUAUUUAUCACAAAUUUAUGUUAUAUAAUCUCAUCUCAUCUCAUUUAUAUAUGUAUGUUGGAUUAUAGAUUGAAUUUAUAUAGAAUGAACACGUGUAUGUACCCUUUCACAUCGGCCACACUGGUCUUCGAAGCAUGAAUCUCCAAGUUCUGAUAUAACCUUUGACUUGGCUGGCAAACAGAUUUUGACCCAGUCCUCUAUGAAGUCACUGCAAUUAACAUAACGUUUAAUCAAAAAUUUCUACAAAUUUGGUGUCAAAAUAUAGAUAAAUGGGGUAAAAAUAUAUUAUACGUGGAGUUGUUUCCAUCUAAUGGGAAAGACAUAAGCCCCUUGAUUCCACCACAUGCACUGUGUCCUAUCACCACAAUGUUCUCCACCUACAUUAAUAAAUUCCAAAAAAAAAGAAAUAAUAGUUAUUAUGAUUUUAUAUUUUCAAAAUUAUUUUCGGUUGAAGUACGGGAAUUUUGUUUUUCUUUUUAAAUCAUCAAAAUCAGGUUGUUGUUGUUGUUAAUUAAUGUGUGAUUGCCUUGUAUUGUAUCAGUAUGUAUCUCUUCUCUGUUUUGGUUUUGGUAUUUAGGUCCACCUUAGCAUGAAGACCCGAUUCGGCCCAUAGUCCAGCCUUUAUGGACCGGCCCAUUUAAAAUAAUUAUUAAGAAUUAGGAGUUCACCUUAAGGUGCAAGACCGCGUAUUCAAUGGCUGCUCCAACUCCACUGUAUUUGACCUGCAAAUAUAAAACGUCAAUGCUACGACUCCUCAAGCGAAAGGUCAAGUACUUGGGUCUUAGACAGAAGGUUUAUAUGUAUAAACAAAAGCAAGUGUUGACUAACCUUGUCAAACGGAG
rnacentral:lncRNA from 1 species